UCCGCCCCGACCCCUCUCUGCCUCCUCCGCCGCGCCGCCACAGCCAGGUCAGGUGCGCCUCCUCCGUCAACCAGCGGCCGCGGCAGCGAAGCCGCCGGAUCGAUCGAGAGGAUAGCCGCCGUCCUCCCGCUCCCGAGCUUCAGCAUCAUCUGAAGUGCUCCCAAAACAAUGGCGGAGCACUUGGCUUCAAUUUUUGGCACGGAGAAGGAUAGGGUCAACUGCCCCUUUUACUUCAAGAUUGGAGCUUGCCGUCAUGGGGAUCGUUGCUCCCGUCUGCACAACAGGCCAACCACAUCGCCAACUAUUGUGCUUGCUAACAUGUACCAGCGACCUGAUAUGAUCACCCCUGGAGUUGAUGCCCAAGGUGUGGCUAUUGCUCCAGAGAAGAUGCAGGAGCACUUUGAGGACUUCUAUGAGGAUAUCUACGAGGAGCUGAGCAAGUUUGGUGAGGUUGAGACCCUGAACGUGUGUGACAACCUUGCUGACCACAUGAUCGGGAAUGUCUAUGUCCAGUUCAGGGAGGAAGAGCAGGCAGUGGCUGCUCACAACGCCCUCCAAGGCCGCUUCUACUCUGGUCGCCCGAUCAUCGUGGAGUACUCCCCUGUCACGGACUUCCGUGAGGCUACCUGCAGGCAGUUUGAGGAGAACAGCUGCAACCGUGGUGGCUACUGCAACUUCAUGCACGUGAAGCAGAUUGGUAGGGAGCUCAGGAGGAAGCUAUAUGGUGGGCGUUCCAGGAGGAGCCACGGGAGGAGCCGCAGCCCGAGCCCACAGCACAGGAGGGACAACCGUGACCGUGGUGGCGACUUCCGCCGUGAUGGCCGGGAUGAAUACCGUGGUGGCGGUGGCGGUUACCGUGGAGGCGAUGGAGGUGAUGGUGGCGGUUACCGUGGAGGUGGUGGCAGGCAUGACAGGUAUGAUGAUGGACCAAGGCGCAGGUAUGGUGGCAGCCCGCCACGACGUGGAAGGAGCCCUCCAGCCAGGGAGAACAGCGAGGAGCGCAGGGCCAAGAUCGAGCAGUGGAACCGUGAGCGGGAGGAGAAGAAGUGAUGAAACCGCGAGUAGUGGAACCGCAAGCGUUAUUUACCUUUUCAUUCUUGUGUCGUUAGUUUGCUCCUAUGUUGAGUCUGGUGGUUUACUGUCAGACAUUGGUUGAUAUAGUACUAUUGCUUGGUUGAGUGACCUGUCAAGUGCAGGAUUCUAUUAGAGGCGUGUAAGCUGCUAUUUGUGCUCAAUAUUUAUCUGCAGGAUUCUCGUAUUAUCUGCCAAGUUUACAGUGUUCUGCUUUUGUUGG
rnacentral:rRNA from 1 species